CCUACGGGAGGCAGCAGUGAGGAAUAUUGGGCAAUGCCCGCAAGGGUGACCCAGCAACGCCGCGUGGAGGAUGAAGGCCGUAAGGUUGUAAACUCCUGUUAGAGGGGAAGAAUAGUACCGGUUGGACCGGUAUAUGACUGUACCCUCAGAGAAAGCCCCGGCUAACUACGUGCCAGCAGCCGCGGUAAU
rnacentral:rRNA from 1 species